ACAAACUAGUAAAUAAGACAGGGAACACAGGGAUUAAAUACACGAAGAGACAAUCAGACACAGGUGAAUUACAUCAGGGUGAGGCGAGUAGUCACACAGGAGGGAAACACUCAAUGACCACUUUAACAGUAGCCAAUCAUGCGACAUGGUUGACUGCCCAAAACCGGACAGAACUGCCUGAUCCAUCCUGAUGCCCUACAUCAGGUUGGAGUUUCAUCACUUGGAGCCUGAUCACUGCUGCUGAGGAUGACCCCACAUGGACAGCCUGGAAAUACAUAGGAUUGUUGUGGAAAGUAACACAUAGAAACCAUGGAGAUGGAUUUGGACUGCACUUGACACAAACUUAUUUUACUUUAUUGAGCAUGAGUUUCCUCAAAUAUGUACAGUUUUGUUCUUAGAAUGUUAUUCUUCAUAUUGGGAUGAACUGCAUGGGUUCCUUUUCAUUUUGAACCUCUGCCAGGUAUUUAACACGGUUCUUUCUGUAUGCAGUAUGUAUGGGUACUUUAUUCUUCAUAAACUAGACACUGGGUAGCAUUGAUACAUUACAGCUACAGUAUCCCUGGUUUGA